ACAAGGCUUCGAUUUCAAAAGGGAGACUUUGUUCACUAUUGCAACUUGUUGUGGAUUCGUCUGCGAUCUCACCGGAAUACAUCAUCACUACUCAAUUGUUCUCGAUGCUCUACGAGAUGGGCUACACUGAUGUGCUUACCACAGUUACGAAGGUCAAGAAGUCAUGCUUACUGCCUAAAUGGAAUGGAUUGCUUACUCUUCUCAUCAAGAGUUUGGCGGAGAGGAAUGGUGGGUCUGAUGUGUUGGAUUAGGUGUCUAAGCCCAUAACUAUUAUUGGUAUGUAUUCGACCCGAGAGUAGCAUGGUCCAUUUGGGUUGCAUAUCAUCAGGACAAUUUGCUAGGAUGGACUUUUGAGAGAAGGUUAUUUAUGGGUUAUUAAUAUAUUAUAAGUAAUAAUAUAUUAAUAUGAAAUCAUAUGUUUUUAAUUAGUAUUGAUCAAGAAUUAAUUUUGAAUUAAUUUAGUGGUCGAAAGUGACUAAUUAAAUCUAUGGGGACUAAUUAUGAUAAUUAGUUAUAUUUAUAUGUGUUGGGCUUAUGAUCCAUGUUGGACCAAGUUUAUGUAUGGAUACAUAAAGAGUUGGGCCACAUGAACCAUGGAUCAUAAAACCCAUGGGUAUGGAUUUAGGUUAUAUCCAUAACCCUAGAAAUCCCACAUAUAAAUAGAUACUUCAUUGCCUAAAAUCGCCACUUGUAGCUUUUUAGAGUUCAUGGUGUCUUUUGUUUGCAUGGAAUUCUCUCUCAAGUUCAUCCUUUGUCCAUGGUGUGUUGUGAUUCCAUUUGAGGCUUCCACACUAUUGGGGCUAAGCUCUUUAAGGCCAAAUACAACAAGAAUUGAAGCUGCAUCAAAAGGUAUGUCAUGCUAACUAGUAUAUUAUAUUUUUAUGUUAAAUGCAUGCUAGUUGUAAGAUUAAUACCUUGGAAACCAUUUGCAUGUAUAAUUAGUGAAAACAUAGAUCCAAGGUAUUUAGGGUUGUAGGUGCACCAUAGGAUGUUGUACUAUACCAAAACCCAACAGUGGUAUCAGAGCCAUGGGUUGUUUUCAAUUACACUUAUUGCAAGUUGCUGGAAAAAUCUGAAAAAAAAAAUCGAAUUUUUUGCUGUCGGGACAACAGACUUGACGAGUCCAGUGAUGGACUCGACGAGUCCAUGAACAAAUUAAUCCAACUCGUCGAGUUGGUUCAUGCACUCGACGCGUUGGACCCCCUGACAGCUUAUCUUCGAGUUUUUUGGCCUGUUUUGGAUUAGAAUCAUUACCGCAAAGUGUUUUUGUUCAUAAAAUUUGUUUUUUGAUACUAUGGUAAUGUUUAUUCUCAUCCAAAUAAAGGAUAAUAAUCAAAGUUUCAUGUUUUAUACAUGUUUAUAUGAUGCUUGAAAAAAGUUGAUUAUGAAUGUUCAUGUUUAUGAGUUUGUUUAGAUUAAUAGGAAAAAUUAUGAGAUAGUUGUUUUCAUUCCAAAUUAAUCUUGGAGUUGUUCAUAAUAUGUGUUUUUGUAACUUGUCCUGAAGUUACAUGAAAAGUCACAUUUAUGUUAAAACUCAUAAAAUUUCCAUAAGUUAUGAAAAAAUGAAGAGUCACAUUUUUUAAUGCUUUUAAAGUCUUCCAUAACUUGUCUACAAGUUAUGGAACUUGAAGGUUUUUUCCAUUAAACCACUUAAAAAUUCAUAAGUUAUGGAAACCAUAAGUUUUUUGAAUUGUUCAAAACUUGUCCUCAAGUUUUGGAAUUUGUAAAGUCAAACCCCAUAUACACUUUAAUUCCAAACCCAAGAAUUUUAAAAGUUAAAGUUCAAACUUUAUGGACUUCAUUAAAUUAAUUAAAGUGUCAAAUUAAAAGAGUUAAUAAUUCCAUAAAGACAUCGUUUAAGUUUAAUUAAAUUAAGAGUAUAGUUUAAUUAAUAGAUUAAACCACCAAGUAUUUUAAAUGUUUAAAAUACACCCUUAUACUAUUAUAAUAUUAAUAGUUAAUACUUAUAUAUNNNNNNNNNNNNNNNNNNNNNNNNNNNNNNNNNNNNNNNNNNNNNNNNNNNNNNNNNNNNNNNNNNNNNNNNNNNNNNNNNNNNNNNNNNNNNNNNNNNNNNNNNNNNNNNNNNNNNNNNNNNNNNNNNNNNNNNNNNNNNNNNNNNNNNNNNNNNNNNNNNNNNNNNNNNNNNNNNNNNNNNNNNNNNNNNNNNNNNNNNNNNNNNNNNNNNNNNNNNNNNNNNNNNNNNNNNNNNNNNNNNNNNNNNNNNNNNNNNNNNNNNNNNCACUUUACACUUUGUCUAAGUCGUUAGUGGAGCGUGUGUGGUUAACCGGCACACUAACUUGGACUUAACAAGGUAGGUAAAGGGUGACUUAAUAUUUAUCAUAGUAUCGAUGGAGCGUGUGUGGUUAACCGGCACAUCGAUUGAGGGGUAAUUUAUUAAGGGUACCAAGUGAUUUGCAUGGUUACUUCACACCUUGUUUUGUGAUCCUCGGCAUCCCAGUCACAAAACCUGAAGGGCACACUCGAGAUUGAAACAUGCCUUUGAACAGUUCAAUGAAUCUCAAAGAUCUAGGAGUUUCAAAACCAAUUAAAACCUAAUAAUACAUUUCGUUUAUCUUGGUGGAAAUUGGUGAAUCGUCAUUCACCUACCUUCAAAUAUUUUAUAGCUUGGAUUACGGCAUCCCUCUUCCAAGUUAUAAAAGUAUUGUGUUGGGUCCUAGCCUUAAUAUUUCAUAUUGGGUGUUAUAUUAAGGACUUUAAAUCAACUAUCUUGAAUAUCUCCCAAAAGAUGUCUGGUUUAGACAUUUAUGAUCUUCCCAAAUCUCUUGAAACAAGCUUUCCUAAAUGAAGAUGAUGUCCCAUGGAAAUCAUACUUCUUUCACCUCCUCCAAUUAUUCUCCCUAAGCCACAAGUUCCUGAAAAGUUUAAGGUCACUCAAGCCCUAUUAGCAAGCAAAGGUCUAUGUGUGAUCACAUCUUGGAGAUGUAGUCACAUAUUGACAAGCCGGGAGAGUUGGGUGUCAAAGUCUUGAGAAAGUUGGUGGAUCAACUACUUUCUAAGUCACAUAGUGAGUUCUUUUGGAACACAUAUGAAACAAACUAUGACAAGACCCUUAAUGAUCUUAUCUAUUUGCUAAGAUCAACUUCCUAAAAACUUUAUGGACAUUGACAAUGAUGACGCUGGAAAUCCACAAAAAGCAUUCUCUUCCCAAUGGAAAGGGAUCGGCCAUAGUCAACUCGGUUGACCAAAUGGUAAAGAGAAAAGCUAAGUCUGAGAGAGUCCCAUUACCGAAGGGUCCAUAUGUUUAUAUUGCCAAAUAAAGGGGCAUUGGUUGCGAAGCUGCCAAAUUUACCAAAGGGCUUCUAGCCCAGUGGUAUCAGGUGGUGCCCUCCCUCUUUGAGGUCGAGGGUUCAAGUCCCGUUGUGGACAUAGGUGGAAUUAGGUGGUAUUAGUUUAGGAAUAGUUUAGAUUUUCCAGUUCAAAAAAAAGUUUGAUUCUACUUCAGGUAAUGUCCACUAUCUAACUCUGCUAAGUUUCUAUAUUCUGAGAUUCUUGAUACAUGAUGUGACUGGGUCACAUGUUGAUGUUUUAAGAAUCAAAGAAAAAUGAAGAAACUUAAUGAAAGAAUAUGUUGAAUCUGAUUGCGUAGAUGAAUUUCUAUCGCGUAUUUUAAAGAUAGGAUUCUUGAUACUUCUUAGGAGUUAUGAUAUUUUGCUUAGGAAUAGAUAACAACUUUUCAUAUGGAUUGUAAGGAUAAGUUUUUUCCGAAUAGUUUGAAAAUAAAAGGUAAAUCUUUUGAUGUUAUUUAUUUUAAAAUAUCCUUCCAAUGGCAUUUAUGAAAAUCUGUGUUGCUUAUAAGAUUCCAUUAAGAGCAAGAGUGGAAAUAUGAAUUUGAUUCUUUCAUUUGUGGUAGUGUCUAAAUUUACCAAAUAAGGAAAGAUUCUCAUCACCCAAGUUUCAGUUGGAUAGAAACUUGGAAUCAUGCAAGUUGUAUAGCAUGAUGAAUGAGAACUUUCGAGCAUUGGAAAAAAUUAAGAGCAACUACUUGUUCACAUGGAUGUGUGAGUCAAGUGAAGGACUAAGGGAUCGGGUACACAUUCCUGUGCACUGGUCAGAGUCCACCACAAAAGAUCGAUAAGACUAUUCGUCAUAAUUUACUAUACCUCAGUAAAUAUGGUUAUACUUACAAGCUUAAGUGUAAUUCUGAGACAUUAGAAAAGGUUCCAAUUUAUGGCAGAGCGAAUAAGAAAAAUCAAUUUACGUAGAAAGAUAAAAGUUUCUCAAAUCUGAAAAGAUGGGAGAGUACUUUAGUAUCAUAUCUUAAGAGCAUCUUAAUGAUUUUGAGACCUUUUAUCAAUUCAUCCUCUAAGUGCAUUCUGAUAGUUAAGAAGAGGCGUUAUGAAUUGUUGAAGUGGUUAAAUCAAGAAGAUGAUUCAUACUUCAUUCCAAAAACAAUUAUUAGACUUAUACUCUAAGAUUGUAACUUGAGUGACAUGUCUUAAAGAAGGUUUAAAACACUUAUCAAAUGUAAGAGUAAAAGUUUUCUACUCUUGUACAUUUGAAAUUGGUAAGUUGUGAUGUUUUGGAUAAAACAAAGACCAACUAAGGCCAAUUGUGUGAAGUGUUUGUCUUGAUUAGAAUCCACACUAUCUCUUGAAUAUCUGACAAGAGAGUCUUAUAUGUCAAGAGGACAGUGGGAGUCUUAAAGGUCUUGAAAGUCUCAAGAACUAAUCAAGAAUAAAACCUGAAGUUCUUCACUAGCACACGACUUGAGGUUUAUAACCUAUCGUGUUGACAUAUUCUGUGCCCAUUCCAGUUAAAGUUGGCUUUGCAUAUGAGUUCUUAGAGUUCUCAAUUGGUUGCACAACAACUUGGAAGGAAUGGCAGGCCCUUGAGCUGCCAGGUGGCAAGAAAUUAAGAUUGAGUUCAGUCCAUAUGAGUUUGGAUUUGUCAGUAUCCUUGUCUUGUGACUAUGGUUUUGACAAUUCACAUGGAUGAGAACACAUACACCAUUAAUAUAAGGGUCAUAAGGUUUCUCUCUGAUUCAUGAAAAUGAUGGUGAGGAAACACUUCCACUAAAUAGAUUUGAAGUAUAUAGAAAUUGUGAUAUUUGCAUUCUCAAAGUCGUUAGUGGAGCUGUGUGGUUAACUGGCACACUAACAUGGACUUGUGAGAAAUGGCAAAGGUCUAAACAAUUGAGAAUAUGAUUACGGCAUACCUUUUCAUAGUUCUGAAAUUGUUUAGACAAACCUAUGAGCUAUCUAAGAUACGGUGUAUGAUAUUGAUAAAGUUUUAUCAAAGCAAUCUAGUAUCAGAAAUCUGAACUUUGGUAAGAAAGUCAAUAAAGUAUUGUUUUUUCUAGAAGUUCAACUGAUUUCUGAGUACAUGUCAAAGCUAGUGGGAGCACAAGUGUUAUGCUAAUAAUCAUCAUGUUAGUGGGAGCAUGAUAAUUAUGAUAAAGGUUGCAAGUUAGCAAUGUUAAUUAUAGAAAACAAAAUGUUUCAAUUGGGAAAAAGUUGUUUUGCUAUAAUUAAGGGAGAGGAAAUUAUACUUCAUCUCAAAUCUAAAAGCUUAGAUUGAGGUUUUAAUCGUAUUUAGUCAAGUAUAUAUAUGAAUGUUAUGUUGGAAUGGCUCAACAUAAGAAAAUUCUAAUAUAUGGGUCCAUUAUUUGCGUUCUAAAAUUCGAUUAUGAUUACGGCAUCCCUUUUCAUAAUCUGAAUUAUGAGAACUUGGCAAAUUGAAAUGGAAAUAUUAUAGCAAAAGACUGGUUUAGUCUUUAUGUGAGACAUCAUGAAUCGUGUCCCAUAUGCUUCGGAUAUAGGAUCGAUUACAUGUGCUAUAUUCAUCCGUUCUAAAAUUUUCCAAAUGCCUGGGGCAUUAAGAAGGGAAAAGGUUUAGAACUGGAUAUGACUAAAAGGAUUAAACAAUUGUCGAGGACAAUCUAAGGUUUACCAAAGAUUGGUUGCUCAAGGACAGUUGGAAGUAUAGUGAUAAUUCUGGAAGGACCAUAUUGACAUAAUCUGUAAGGAGGCAACUCUUGUUCAGAAGUGAUAGUCAAAAUGGAAUCUGGAAAUGUUUCAAAGUUAGAAUUUUCAAUCUGUGUAAGAUUAAGGAAACUUAAUGCAAGAAGGAUAUUUCCAAGGAGUUGAUCUCCUUUGGAAUACUCUGUAAUGAUUGUUGCCAAGUCUUUGUGACUUUGUGCAUAAUCGUUACAAGAGGAUCAAUGCAUAUAAGUUUAGAAUCUAACAGAUUUCAGUAAAUGGCAUGAAUUUGGAAUUCUUGCAUUUGCAGUAAGGAUUUGGGAGUGUGAAAAGAGAAUCAUUGAAGUUAUGUUCAAUUGAUCUAGUUCACAAAGUAAAGAUCAUAGACAAACAUAGUAUGCAUACUUGGUGUAUGGCAUGACUAGUGUUUAGAAAACAUAGUGUACAUGCUUGGAGCAUGGGACAACUAUUGUUUUAAAUUCAAGAAUAAAGUUGAUAGCUGAAACAGUAUAAAAUGAAUAAUGUGUAAUCAUAUGGUGAUAAAUGUUGUGUGUUUUAUUUAUGUUCAUAGGUUUUGAUACCAUAUUCGAUUCAAUUAUUCUUGUGUUUCAUUUUGCUUGUUUUGACUUCCAGAAUAAACUAGGUCAUUGUUCUGCGUGACUAAGUUAUUUAAACCAUCCACAGUCGGUCAUAUGUUGGAAGUAGAUAUGAAUUAAGACUGUCAUGGGUUGGCUUGUAGAGGUCUAAGAUGUUGGACAAAGGGCUACAACACUCAUGAGUGCUCAUAAGUUCUGAGUAUUGGAUUCAACCCGUGCUCAUUGGAAUCACUUCAUGGAUUUUAUCACGAGUGAUCAUGAGACGAUAAUAUCUUAUAUUCUUCGAACUUAGAGAUAUGAGUUGUUGCUAUGAGUUGGUUAUACAUUGAUUGCACGAAAACGCAUUGGUAACUCGAUGUUAUAAAAUGUGCCUUUGUGUAUGAUUCAACAAGUAAUAGAACAAGCCAUAUGAGUCGAUGUUUAUCCAUUCCUUUUACCUUCGGGAUAAAAGCGAUAUCUGUGGGCCCCUCGAUGAUUUGGUGAUGACAAAUGUAAGUGCUCGGCCGAGCCUGGACUGAUUUGAUUUGUUCAAUUAGUCAGUCGUCAUAAAUCGGAAAUCGGGAAACAACAAAUGGACAGAGAGAAUGAUUAUAAUCCAUGUCUCACUCGAUAUGAUAUCUAGAAUGGAGGAAUAUAUGAUCCCUUACCUAAUGGACAUGUCAUUUGAUUUUUUCAGAGUUUGACAACGGCUUUAAAAGCUACGAUUGCUAGUCGGGAUCUUGGAGUCAUACUUGAAUAAUAGUUUUAGACUUAUCCAAGUGGGAGACUGUUGGAUUAGGUGUCUAAGCCCAUAACUAUUAUUGGUAUGUAUUCGACCCGAGAGUAGCAUGGUCCAUUUGGGUUGCAUAUCAUCAGGACAAUUUGUUAAGAUGGACUUUUGAGAGAAGGUUAUUUAUGGGUUAUUAAUAUAUUAUAAGUAAUAAUAUAUUAAUAUGAAAUCAUAUGUUUUUAAUU
rnacentral:lncRNA from 1 species